UACGGAGGGUGCGAGCGUUGUCCGGGAUCACUGGGCGUAAAGGGCGCGUAGGUGGCGUCGCAAGUCAACGGUGAAAGCUCGACGCUCAACGUCGAGUCGGCCGUCGAGACUGCGAGGCUUGAGCACUGUAGAGGCAGAUGGAAUUCCGGGUGUAGCGGUGGAAUGCGUAGAGAUCCGGAAGAACACCGGUGGCGAAGGCGGUCUGCUGGGCAGUUGCUGACACUGAGGCGCGACAGCGUGGGGAGCAAACAGG
rnacentral:rRNA from 1 species